CGUGCGGCAGCUUACACAUGCAAGUCGAGCGGUAACAGGGGGUGCUUGCACCCCGCUGACGAGCGGCGGACGGGUGAGUAAUGCAUAGGAAACUGCCCAGUAGUGGGGGAUAGCCCGGGGAAACCCGGAUUAAUACCGCGUACGCCCUUCGGGGGAAAGCAGGGGAUCUUCGGACCUUGCGCUAUUGGAUGUGCCUAUGUCGGAUUAGCUAGUUGGUGGGGUAAAGGCCUACCAAGGCGACGAUCCGUAGCUGGUCUGAGAGGAUGAUCAGCCACAUCGGGACUGAGACACGGCCCGAACUCCUACGGGAGGCAGCAGUGGGGAAUAUUGGACAAUGGGGGCAACCCUGAUCCAGCCAUGCCGCGUGUGUGAAGAAGGCUUUCGGGUUGUAAAGCACUUUCAGUGAGGAGGAAAACUCUGCGACUAAUACUCGUAGGGCUUGACGUUACUCACAGAAGAAGCACCGGCUAACUCCGUGCCAGCAGCCGCGGUAAUACGGAGGGUGCAAGCGUUAAUCGGAAUUACUGGGCGUAAAGCGCGCGUAGGUGGUUUGAUAAGCGAGAUGUGAAAGCCCCGGGCUUAACCUGGGAACGGCAUUUCGAACUGU
rnacentral:rRNA from 1 species